AGAAUCAACGCUGGCGGCGUGCCUAACACAUGCAAGUCGAACGAGAAAGUGGAGCAAUCCAUGAGUAAAGUGGCGCACGGGUGAGUAACACGUGAUUAACCUACCCUUGAGUGGGGGAUAACCUAGGGAAACCUGGGCUAAUACUGCAUAAUACCUUCGGGUCAAAGGAGCAAUUCGCUUUAGGAGGGGGUCGCGGCCGAUUAGUUAGUUGGCGGGGUAAUGGCCCACCAAGACUGUGAUCGGUAUCCGGCCUGAGAGGGCGCACGGACACACUGGAACUGAAACACGGUCCAGACUCCUACGGGAGGCAGCAGUGGGGAAUUUUGCGCAAUGGGGGAAACCCUGACGCAGCAACGCCGCGUGGAGGAUGAAGCCCCUUGGGGCGUAAACUCCUUUCGAUCGGGAAGAUAAUGACGGUACCGAGAGAAGAAGCCCGGCUAACUUCGCGCCAGCAGCCGC
rnacentral:rRNA from 1 species